rnacentral:rRNA from 1 species
ACGCUGGCGGCAGGCCUAACACAUGCAAGUCGAGCGGUAGCACGGGAGAGCUUGCUCUCUGGGUGACGAGCGGCGGACGGGUGAGUAAUGUCUGGGAAACUGCCUGAUGGAGGGGGAUAACUACUGGAAACGGUAGCUAAUACCGCAUGACCUCGCAAGAGCAAAGUGGGGGACCUUCGGGCCUCACGCCAUCGGAUGUGCCCAGAUGGGAUUAGCUAGUAGGUGGGGUAAUGGCUCACCUAGGCGGCGAUCCCUAGCUGGUCUGAGAGGAUGACCAGCCACACUGGAACUGAGACACGGUCCAGACUCCUACGGGAGGCAGCAGUGGGGAAUAUUGCACAAUGGGCGCAAGCCUGAUGCAGCCAUGCCGCGUGUGUGAAGAAGGCCUUAGGGUUGUAAAGCACUUUCAGCGAGGAGGAAGGCGUUGUAGUUAAUAGCUGCAACGAUUGACGUUACUCGCAGAAGAAGCACCGGCUAACUCCGUGCCAGCAGCCGCGGUAAUACGGAGGGUGCAAGCGUUAAUCGGAAUUACUGGGCGUAAAGCGCACGCAGGCGGUUUGUUAAGUCAGAUGUGAAAUCCCCGAGCUUAACUUGGGAACUGCAUUUGAAACUGGCAAGCUAGAGUCUUGUAGAGGGGGGGUAGAAUUCCAGGUGUAGCGGUGAAAUGCGUAGAGAUCUGGAGGAAUACCGGUGGCGAAGGCGGCCCCCUGGACAAAGACUGACGCUCAGGUGCGAAAGCGUGGGGAGCAAAC